GGAAAUUUCUCUUUACGGGGGGGUUUCUGCGAGUUCCAUUAUUUGGAAAUAACAGCAGCACCGUGUCUCCUCCCCCACAAGCUGAACCUUUGCCUUCCAGUUGUUUUUCUUAUCCAGUCAAACAACGGGCUACAUCAUUCUCCCUCAUUUGUUUUACCCUAAAUUAAUUUUUUUAAUAGAACUCUUUUGAUUACAGGGUCUAGGAAUUUUUCAUAUUCCAAUUUCCAGUUCGAUCUUGGCUGAGAAAGAAAAUGAUGAGAAGCCGAUUGGAAAAUCAGCGGCAUGAGGAUCAGUAUUCGAGGGCUUUCCACGAGCUGUGGGGACUGGUUAUGAGCCUUCUACGAUCGCCGCUAGCUCCGGUUCCUUCCGCCAGCCAAUCACCGGCGUUGUCCACAAGCCCUCAUUCCCCACCAGUACCGACAAUGAAGAAGAUAUCACCGUCCGGAUUCGCUUUGCUGAUGUUAGGGACAUCGGUUUCGUUGAUGCUGUGUGGAUCAGUUACUUUCUUUAUAGGAUUCAUGUUGAUGCCUUGGCUUCUUUGUUUGGUCAUGGUUCUUUACAUUGCUGGAAUUGUUUCUGCGGUUUCCAUGUUAUGUCGUUCUACUAUUUGUUAUGCCAUGGCCCCUCUGCUGCGGCGGAAGGAAAUUCCUGGUCUUUUACAGAGCAGGAAUUAAAUCCCUAGAAUUUGCAGAAUAGAGCUUCGUAAUGAACGACUGGCUUUCAAGCAUAUGACAAAAAUUGCUGGUGUGGAAGAAGGCAAUAGCUAGUAGUGGAUUGUUUAUACAGUUGUUGGCUGAUCAAACUAGCUGAAUUUGAUGAAUAAUAUGGCAGCAAACUAGGCAUUGCAGAGUGGAAGCUGAUGCGGGUGAUUGGUGCUGCAUAUACAAGAGAGUUUAGCAGGUUUCUUCAAGUAUUAAUGCUGAUUAUAUUCUUGGUCUAGUUGAAGCAUUUAACUCAUCAAUGAGUGUUCUUAUUUGCCACUGGAAAUGGGAUGCUUCCCUUCUCAGGUGCUAUCCAAAAUGGAAAUGAAUAUGAGAAAGAUUCAAGAAAUUGAGCUUUCUUAAUAAGCCUUUUGAUUUUAAAAGAUGCAUGGCUUGUAUAAUAUUAGAGAUUAUGAAACUCAUCCUAAACUUGUCUCCAAUCUGAGUUCCAGUUGAAGGGUAUUUCUAGGGACAUGUUGCUUCAGCGAUAAGGUGAUGGGAUUGGGAUGGGAGGACUGAAUAAGAUAUCAUAGGGAUUAUUUGCAACAUCAACUUUUCUGCA